AUCCAUGGGUAUACCUCCUAAACAGAUCGGUGGACGGAUGGACCAAGAGAGAACAGAAACUAGUUCAUAAAAUAACCCUGAGCGCAAGGAAAACAAUAGCGACGAAAUGGCUUUCACCAGACUCACCCGAGUUUCCGAUAGUGAUAUCCAGGAUCCGCGAAUGUAGGAUCAUGGACGACCUAACAGCGAGAGUAAAGGGAUCGAUAGAAACAUUUCUAAAACUCUGGGAACCAUGGGAUAACAGCGUAAUAGGCUCUAGAGAGGAUAGAUAGGAAUAAACGAAAGAUGUAAAGGGGUCCUUGCAGUAGAGCUAAACCAGGGGCAGAAUCCUCCUACACAGAGAUCCAACCGACACACCUGGCCUAGGGAGAUCGGGAUGAACCUGCUCCCCCCCCCCCCUGCCGCCUUCUUCACGUACCUCCCUAGCCACCUCCAGGUCACUGCAGCUACCACACAAUCCUCCCUUACUUUAUACUACUUUCUCAGUCUCCCCUUCUUUCUUUUCUUUUUUUUUUAAUUCUUAUCUUUUCUCUCCCCGCGCCUAUACGGGGAAAAUCCAUUUCAUAUCCGCUACUUACUUUGCAUACCAACCUCCUCAGACAAGGUCAACGUAACGAACAUAAAGGGAACCCUAGGUACCCCAGAUAAACCUCAGACCAUUAACCCUCUACGUAUAUCAAAGGACCUACAAACAUCAAACUACGGAUUAGAUAAUAACAAUAUAGCUAUAUUGAUAACGACACAGGACUUACACGAUAUAUAAAACAUUAUAUAGCUCAUCGGUAGACCUCAAAUUACCGCUGGGCCAGGGACGUUUUCCCUCCCACACCUAAGCAUCCUAGACAAACCGAUAAAUUAUACUGGGGAAUUACACUAUUAAAAAUCCUUUAAAGAGGAUAACCCCCCAUGGAUCCUUUAAAUACGAACACAUACUGUAAAGAUUGCAGUUCAUGUGACUGUUAAGAUGUUACCCAUACUUUGGCUUCUGCGUAAGCCCAAUCGUUGAUACUUGGUCAUUAUAGAUGCAGCUACUAAGUUCAAUGUAGCAAUUGCUAACAAAGUGUGAAAUGGAAGGUUAAACCUGCUUGCUUUCUUGAGGUUACUUUUGUUUAUUAAAAAAUACAAAAAUUCCUUGACGGACAGAGACGAUGAUAGCAAUAAUGUAUAGCACGCUUAGUUACAGGAUGUCUUAUUUGAAAUGAAGUACAUGUACAUGACUUACUCUAUGG